CCUUCACAAUGUGCGNNAGCACGAUGAGGGGAUCCCAAGUGCUGGUUCGUAAGAGUCAGCUGUUUCUUUGUCUAAAAAACAGAGAGAGUAAGGGCUGGGUAAGACGGGUGCCAGCCGCCGCGGUAAUACCUGCAGCUCAAGUGGUGGCCGUUAUUAUUGGGNNNAAAACGUUCGUAGCCGGUUUAGUAAAUNNUUGGGUAAAUCGUGUAGCUUAACUAUACGAAUUCCGGGUAGACUGUUAAACUUGGGACCGGGAGAGGUUAGAGGUACUCCUGGGGUAGAGGUGAAAUUCUGUAAUCCUGGGGGGACCACCAGUGGCGAAGGCGUCUAANNAGAACGGGUCUGACGGUGAGGGACGAAACCCUGGGGCGNNNACCGGAUUAGAUACCCGGGUAGUCCAGGGUGUAAACGCUGCUUGCUUGAUGUUAGUUGGGCUCCGAGCCCA
rnacentral:rRNA from 1 species